rnacentral:tRNA from 1 species
CGCGGGAUAGAGCAGUUUGGUAGCUCGUCGGGCUCAUAACCCGAAGGUCAUAGGUUCAAAUCCUGUCCCCGCUACCA